AUGAACGCUAGCUACAGGCUUAACACAUGCAAGUCGAGGGGCAGCAUGAACUUAGCUUGCUAAGUUUGAUGGCGACCGGCGCACGGGUGAGUAACACGUAUCCAACCUGCCGAUGACUCGGGGAUAGCCUUUCGAAAGAAAGAUUAAUACCCGAUGGCAUAGUUCUUCCGCAUGGUAGAACUAUUAAAGAAUUUCGGUCAUCGAUGGGGAUGCGUUCCAUUAGGUUGUUGGCGGGGUAACGGCCCACCAAGCCUUCGAUGGAUAGGGGUUCUGAGAGGAAGGUCCCCCACAUUGGAACUGAGACACGGUCCAAACUCCUACGGGAGGCAGCAGUGAGGAAUAUUGGUCAAUGGACGAGAGUCUGAACCAGCCAAGUAGCGUGAAGGAUGACUGCCCUAUGGGUUGUAAACUUCUUUUAUACGGGAAUAAAGUGAGGCACGUGUGCCUUUUUGUAUGUACCGUAUGAAUAAGGAUCGGCUAACUCCGUGCCAGCAGCCGCGGUAAUACGGAGGAUCCGAGCGUUAUCCGGAUUUAUUGGGUUUAAAGGGAGCGUAGGCGGACGCUUAAGUCAGUUGUGAAAGUUUGCGGCUCAACCGUAAAAUUGCAGUUGAUACUGGGUGUCUUGAGUACAGUAGAGGCAGGCGGAAUUCGUGGUGUAGCGGUGAAAUGCUUAGAUAUCACGAAGAACUCCGAUUGCGAAGGCAGCCUGCUGGACUGUAACUGACGCUGAUGCUCGAAAGUGUGGGUAUCAAACAGGAUUAGAUACCCUGGUAGUCCACACAGUAAACGAUGAAUACUCGCUGUUUGCGAUAUACAGUAAGCGGCCAAGCGAAAGCGUUAAGUAUUCCACCUGGGGAGUACGCCGGCAACGGUGAAACUCAAAGGAAUUGACGGGGGCCCGCACAAGCGGAGGAACAUGUGGUUUAAUUCGAUGAUACGCGAGGAACCUUACCCGGGCUUGAAUUGCAACUGAAUGAUGUGGAGACAUGUCAGCCGCAAGGCAGUUGUGAAGGUGCUGCAUGGUUGUCGUCAGCUCGUGCCGUGAGGUGUCGGCUUAAGUGCCAUAACGAGCGCAACCCUUAUCGAUAGUUACCAUCAGGUGAUGCUGGGGACUCUGUCGAGACUGCCGUCGUAAGAUGUGAGGAAGGUGGGGAUGACGUCAAAUCAGCACGGCCCUUACGUCCGGGGCUACACACGUGUUACAAUGGGGGGUACAGAAGGCAGCUACACGGCGACGUGAUGCUAAUCCCGAAAGCCUCUCUCAGUUCGGAUUGGAGUCUGCAACCCGACUCCAUGAAGCUGGAUUCGCUAGUAAUCGCGCAUCAGCCACGGCGCGGUGAAUACGUUCCCGGGCCUUGUACACACCGCCCGUCACACCAUGAGAGUUGGAAAUACCCGAAGCCUGUGAGCUAACCUAUGAGGCAGCAGUCGAAGGUAGAGCCAAUGAUUGGGGUG
rnacentral:rRNA from 1 species